UACGUAGGGAGCAAGCGUUGUCCGGAUUUACUGGGCGUAAAGGGCGCGUAGGCGGCGUGUUAAGUCAGCUGUGAAAUCUCCAAGCUCAACUUGGAACGGCCAGCUGAUACUGAUGUGCUAGAGUGCAGAAGGGGCAAUCGGAAUUCUUGGUGUAGCGGUGAAAUGCGUAGAUAUCAAGAGGAACACCUGAGGUGAAGACGGGUUGCUGGGCUGACACUGACGCUGAGGCGCGAAAGCCAGGGGAGCAAACGGG
rnacentral:rRNA from 1 species